CCCAGUCGGGUGGCGUAGUGCGCAGGCGCGGCGUUCCGCGGGCUCCGCGCUGGCGGCGGGGAGCGGGCUCGGGCCGCUUGCCCCCGCGUGGGCUCGCGCUGGGCCGGGGAGUCCGCGCGGCCCGCGCCGGAGGGGGGGGUUCUGUCCCAACAUGGGACGGAAGCACGUGACCCGCCCGGUUGGCGCCUUCGGAAGCAGCUCAUGAGCUGACUGAGAGGAGCCCGGCGGGGGGCCUGAGGCUGCGGAGGAGCGCGGUGCCCGGAGCCCCUGCCCCAGAGGCUCCAGUCGGCGCCAGAGCGGCUCCCGGCCUCCCGGUGGAGCCGCCGCUGCCGGGAGCCCUGCAGGAGGAAGAGCGCUGGGGGCACUUGUUGGGCCUGCGCCCCCCGGGGCCUUCGCAAAGCCAGUUCCGGGCCGGGGCCCUGGCGGAGGGAGAAAAUAAAUUGUUUGGGAGACACGGAGCCUCCGCGCCCUUUGUGACCCGCCGUUGGGCCUGCCUGGGAGCCCGGCGAGACCCUGGUGGGGGGCGGGCUCUGGACCCCGGAGGGAGGAAGCCCAAGGCAAGGGUCUGGGCCGCCCGGGGCUGCUGGCCCCGAGAAUGAGGGGGCGCCCGUCUGGGAUUCCUGCCCCUGCAGCCCCGCUGUGCGCCUGGCCCCGCCUCUUCCGCCCUGGGAGGGGGGAGGGGCAGCGGCGUCUUACAGCCCCCAGAGGUGGGCGGGGCUGGCCGCGGUGGGAGGGGGGAGUUCUGCGGGACCCCAUCUGGGCGAGCCUGUUUCCAUCAGUGAAUGCGACCGAGGCUGCGGGGUCCCUGCCGAAAAGUGGGCUGGGCUGCGAGCCGCGGCCUGCUCGAGGAGGAAGGGCGGAGGCCGUUGGGGGUUCAAGGUCAAAGUCAGACCCUGCGGCGAGGUCUGUGCCAUGAGAACAGUAGGGGGCGCUCUAACAUGAGCUGUCCCGAGGCUCCCGGGGAGCAAAGUGGGCGGCGGGCGCUUGGGCAGAGGAAGAGCCCGCGUGUCUCGGUGGGGCUCGGAGAGUGUGGGAUGGGCGGGUGAUAACCCUCCAAACCAAGACCCAGACAUGCUGUAACCUAUGGGUCACGGGGGGCCCGGAAACGGCCAGCGAUUGGCUGCGGGGCUUCUCUAACUUCCAUCGCGGAGGGCUCUUCCCGGCCUCGGGCCCGGCUUCCCACAUCCCCUAGCGGCCUUUCUCUGCCUCCGCCUGCCCGUCGGUAAAAUGGGGGCAGCGAGCGCGCCCGCCUGGGGGUGGGCGGGGCCGUCGCGGAGCGCGCGGCCCCGAGCUCUGCACGUGGGGCUGUGUCCUUUCCCGACCUUGGCGCGGGGCCGCAGCGCCGCCUGGCGCCGAGGAGGGGCGAGACAAGCUGGCGCCGGGAAACGGGGCCGCGGAUACAAGGCGCGCUGUGAGCGAGCGGCCGGAGGCUUCGGGGAACGGCCGCGGGGAGUGACCGGGCGCCGCCGGGGCUGCGCUUGCGCCCCAGGGUCGGAGGGAGGAAGUUCCCCCUCGCUCUGCGGGGCGCCGAGGGCCCUGUGGUGGGAACGGCCCUGGGAGGGCCCUGUGGUGGGAACGGCCCUGGGAGGGCCCUGUGGUGGGAAGGCGGCCGGCAGCCGGGCCAGGGCAGCAUCCGUGUUGGGGAGGGCGGCCUCUGCUCUUCAUCUUUUUCACUUUUUUUAAGUUAUAGCUUUUUUCUGGGAGAUGACCAAGAACCACUACAUUGAAUUCCCAAUCCCCAUAUUUAUGCCCACCUGCAUUUCUGAUUUCCUUCACAGGCUAAUUGUGCAAUAACUCAGAGUCUGAUUCUUUUUGUACAGCAAAAUCACGUUUUGUCAUGUAUACUUAUUGUGUAUCUGAUUUAUACUUUAAUAUAUUUAACAUCUACUGGUCAUCCUGCCAUCUGGGGGAGGGGAAAAAUUGGAACAAGAGGUUUGGCAAUUGUUAAUGCUGUAAAGUUACCCAUGCAUAUAACCUGUAAAUAAAAGGCUAUUAGAUAAAAAAAAAAAGAAAUGAGGCCUUGAUCAGAACCUUUGACUGCAAAAAUGUUUUCCCAGUUUGUGGCUUCCCUUUAAUCUUGUCUGUUAUGUUCUCUCUAAAAUGUCAUGUUCUCUGGGUGGGUUUUCUUGGGGUCUCUAGAUGCAGCCCUCCACCAGAAUCACCACCGGAACAGCCAGGGGUUAAAGUCCAAAUCCUUACUUGUCUCCUUCAAAGACUUGUCUCCUUCACUUGGGGCUCGGCUAGUUUUCUGGGUCCCUUCCAGAGUCUUGCUUUCAGUGGAGAAGCAAAGGAGGAGAGCCUGCCACCAAGGCGGUGGGAGAUGGGAUGAAUCUGUCUGAGUCCAAGGGCUUGGGCUCCAGGCUUCAGCCUUCAGCCUUCUCUGCUUGUCCUAAAUCUCUGAAUCUCCCUGACUGAGGCUUCUAGCUUACAUGCCCCACACUGAGUACAAACCAAUCAUUAUAUCACUAGGAGACCAUUAUUUGUUGUAGGAUUAAAUCAGUUUUAAACUAGAUUUAAACAGUGUCUCCUCGAUUCCACUUAGUGCCUUGUUUCAAGUUCUGGCCCACGACAUCUUGUAGGAUUUAAUCCAUCCUACUGAACCAGGCGAAAUUAGAUGAUUAUUGUCUCUAUCAAUUCCACUGACU
ensembl:lncRNA